UACGAAGGGGGCUAGCGUUGCUCGGAAUCACUGGGCGUAAAGCGCACGUAGGCGGCUUCUUAAGUCAGGGGUGAAAUCCUGGAGCUCAACUCCAGAACUGCCUCUGAUACUGAGGAGCUCGAGUCCGGGAGAGGUGAGUGGAACUCCGAGUGUAGAGGUGAAAUUCGUAGAUAUUCGGAAGAACACCAGUGGCGAAGGCGGCUCACUGGCCCGGUACUGACGCUGAGGUGCGAAAGCGUGGGGAGCGAACAGG
rnacentral:rRNA from 1 species